CAAUGGUUCUGGCGCAUUGUUGGUUAUUUUCUAAUAAAUGACGUAGGACAUAAACUGUGAAUGCGCCACGAGGGAAAGACGAAGUACUGAAGAUGAAGUCGGGCCCCCAGGCACAAAUAUCGGCUGAUGACUGGAAACGCCGCCGCUUUUCACCCUGCAAACGGCAAACAACAAGUGUGCCGGGGAUGAGGAAAAUCACAACGCAGAAAGCGUCCCCUAACAGAACAUCUUGUGGAAUAGGCUAACGUUAUUGGUGAGUCAUUGAGGCGAUCAUUUGUGUGUCUGUAGAAGAACGAUAUAUUUUCAGGAUGAGUUUUUGCUAAAUGCAAACUGCACUGUAUAAUCAUUGACUUAUUCUUUUUAUUCAUGGAAAUCAUAGCUUUUUUAUUGGAAUGAGGUUGGGUAAGUUGCAUUAGCAUUCAGGAGACAAUCAUAAACGUUUAGGCAAAUGGAUUGUUACAGGAUGCUAAAGGUAAAUCUCGUGGUCAUGUGACACUGUCCCCAAAAAUGAACAUUGAGACGAAGCCACGGCACGUUGCGUUGAUUCACGGAGCAUGGUCGCCUGGCGGAAUGCUGCGCUUGGCAGCUGUCUGCGGUAUUACAGCUAACACGUGCCACUGUAGUUGUGGCAACAUGCCUCGCAAAUGUGCUGGGUUGCUAAAGCAUCUGGAUCUACAGCUGGAAUAGCCAGGCAGAGGCAGGUUGAAAGACAUUGAACCACCCCUGCCAGGAAAUGACAUCACGAUGCAGGUGAUGGAUAAUAUUCCUGGACCCUGAGGGUAUUUCACAAAGCAGGUCAGGUGAGGUGUUCCUAACUUAUCCGUGUUCGUCUACGUAGAUAGUCGGCUUCAGGCUUGUUCAGCUUUACAAGAACGGAGCUCGACUUCUGUUGUCCUGCUCCUGCGCGUCAGACUCAAACAGAACAUGUGAGGUGGUUCAUCCAUUAGCACGUGUUAAAUGAACACGCAUCCAGUGUGUGUGAAGAUGAAUUAUGUAGCUUUAGCGAUAAUGCUGUCAAGAGGAGUCCAUAAUGAUGCCGUGACCCAGUGCUGCCCUUAGAGCAUGGGGGGAAGAGACACCUGGAAACCAAUCACCGAUAAACCAAAAGCAAAGAAUCAUUACAUAGUGCAAGGAACUAAUGAGAGAUGAGAAGCUUAACCUUGGCACGGCAGGGAUCAGCUCGUAAUGGAUAGGAUCCCAGAGGAGCAUCUCUUCCGAGGAGGCUUUAGGCCCUUAGAUAGAGGUGGAAUACAUUUCCAUCUGUGCAUGAGCUGGGAAAUGGACCUGAGCUUUAACGUGGGAUGGUCCCUUCCAGGGGAGCAUGAGAAGUGUUUGGCUAACAGGACACGGAAAAGGCUUCCAAAGUAUCCAAAAAAAGCACAGAGCACCUCACUGUGAAGCCAUUCGCCCCAUUGUUAUUAUUAUCUUUGUUGUUGUGACAUUUUUAAUAAAGCAGAUGCUUCUAUCCAAAGUGACAUAUUUUUGAGAAAAAUGGGUCAGACAGUCCCUGGAGCAAUUGGCGGUUAAGGCCCUUGGUCAAGGGCCCAAAAGUGAUACCACUCAAGUGUAGGAUUGUAACCUGCAACCUUCCGCUCAGAGGCACA